rnacentral:rRNA from 1 species
GAUGAACGCUGGCGGCGUGCCUAAUACAUGCAAGUCGAGCGAACGGACGAGAAGCUUGCUUCUCUGAUGUUAGCGGCGGACGGGUGAGUAACACGUGGAUAACCUACCUAUAAGACUGGGAUAACUUCGGGAAACCGUAGCUAAUACCGGAUAAUAUUUUGAACCGCAUGGUUCAAAAGUGAAAGACGGUCUUGCUGUCACUUAUAGAUGGAUCCGCGCUGCAUUAGCUAGUUGGUAAGGUAACGGCUUACCAAGGCAACGAUGCAUAGCCGACCUGAGAGGGUGAUCGGCCACACUGGAACUGAGACACGGUCCAGACUCCUACGGGAGGCAGCAGUAGGGAAUCUUCCGCAAUGGCCGAAAGCCUGACGGAGCAACGCCGCGUGAGUGAUGAAGGUCUUCGGAUCGUAAAACUCUGUUAUUAGGGAAGAACAUAUGUGUAAGUAACUGUGCACAUCUUGACAGUACCUAAUCAGAAAGCCACGGCUAACUACGUG